rnacentral:rRNA from 1 species
UAGCGGCAGGCCUAACACAUGCAAGUCGAGGGGUAACGGAGGGUGCUUGCACCCUGCCGACGACCGGCGCACGGGUGCGGAACGCGUAUGGAACCUGCCCCUGUCAGGGGAAUAGCCCAGGGAAACUUGGAUUAAUGCCCCAUGGUAUCGCGAUAUCGCAUGAUAUUGUGAUUAAAGAUUUAUCGGACAGGGAUGGCCAUGCGUACCAUUAGCUAGUUGGUGGGGUAACGGCUUACCAAGGCAACGAUGGUUAGGGGCCCUGAGAGGGGGAUCCCCCACACUGGUACUGAGACACGGACCAGACUCCUACGGGAGGCAGCAGUGAGGAAUAUUGGACAAUGGGCGGGAGCCUGAUCCAGCCAUGCCGCGUGCAGGAUGACUGCCCUAUGGGUUGUAAACUGCUUUUACAUGGGAAGAAACGCACCUACGAGUAGGUGUCUGACGGUACCAUGAGAAUAAGGACCGGCUAACUCCGUGCCAGCAGCCGCGGUAAUACGGAGGGUCCGAGCGUUAUCCGGAAUCAUUGGGUUUAAAGGGUCCGUAGGCGGGCCUAUAAGUCAGAGGUGAAAGGCCACGGCUCAACCGUGGGACUGCCUUUGAUACUGUAGGUCUUGAGUCGUUGUGGAGUUGCCGGAACAUGUGGUGUAGCGGUGAAAUGCAUAGAUAUCACAUAGAACACCGAUCGCGAAGGCAGGUAACUAACAACGUACUGACGCUGAUGGACGAAAGCGUGGGUAGCGAACGGGAUUAGAUACCCCGGUAGUCCCACCCCGUAAACGAUGGAUACUAGCU